rnacentral:rRNA from 1 species
CAAUAGCAUAUAUUAACGUUGUUGCAGUUGAAAAGCUCGUAGUUGAACUUUUGGUAGGAGCGACCUGGCCUUGGGCGCAUGCCCUUGUUUGCCGUGUGUCGUGUCUGGCCAUCCUUUUCCGCUUCGGCGGGAAUCUUUUACUGUGAGUAAACUGGAGUGCUCAAAACAAGACGUUUGUUUGGUACAUUAAAGCAUGGAAUAAUAAGAUAGGACCUGGUUACUAUUUUGUUGGUUUGCAUAGCUAGGUAAUGAUUAACAGGGACAGUUGGGGGUAUUCGUAUUUAAUUGUCAGAGGUGAAAUUCUUGGAUUUAUGAAAGACGAACGACUGCGAAAGCAUUUACCAAGGAUGUUUUCAUUA